rnacentral:rRNA from 1 species
UACGUAGGCAGCGAGCGUUGUUCGGAAUUACUGGGCGUAAAGCGUGCGCAGGCGGUUCGUUGUGUCCGAUGUGAAAGCCCCGGGCUUAACCUGGGAAUGGCAUUGGAAACUGGCGGGCUUGAGUGCGGCAGAGGGGGGUGGAAUUCCGCGUGUAGCAGUGAAAUGCGUAGAGAUGCGGAGGAACACCGAUGGCGAAGGCAGCCCCCUGGGUCGACACUGACGCUCAGGCACGAAAGCGUGGGGAGCAAACAGG